GAUGAACGCUGGCGGCGUGCCUAAUACAUGCAAGUCGAGCGAACAGAAGAGGAGCUUGCUCCUCUGACGUUAGCGGCGGACGGGUGAGUAAAACGUGGAUAACCUACCUAUAAGACUGGGAUAACUUCGGGAAACCGGAGCUAAUACCGGAUAAUAUAUUGAACGGCAUGGUUCAAUAGUGAAAGACGGUUUUGCUGUCACUUAUAGAUGGACCCGCGCCUCAUUAGCUAGUUGGUAAGGUAACGGCUUACCAAGGCAACGAUGCGUAGCCGACCUGAGAGGGUGACCGGCCACACUGGAACUGAGUCACGGUCCAGACUGCUACGGGAGGAAGCAGUAGGGAAUCACCCGCGAUGGGCGAAGGCUUGACGGAGCAACGCCGCGUGGGUGAUGAGGGUCUUGGGAUCGUAAAAUUCUGUGAUUAGGGAUGAACAAAUGUGUAAGUAACUAUGCACGUCUUGACGGUACCUAAUCAGAAAGCCACGGCUAACUCCGUG
rnacentral:rRNA from 1 species